rnacentral:sRNA from 1 species
UGAUUCACAUAACAAGCUUCUAGUGAAA